UGAGGAAUAUUGGUCAAUGGACGAGAGUCUGAACCAGCCAAGUAGCGUGCAGGAUGACGGCCCUAUGGGUUGUAAACUGCUUUUGUUUGGGCAUAAUCGACAUUACGUGUAAUGUUUUUCAUUUACCAUUCGAAUAAGGACCGGCUAAUUCCGUGCCAGCAGCCGCGGUAAUACGGAAGGUCCAGGCGUUAUCCGGAUUUAUUGGGUUUAAAGGGAGCGUAGGCCGUUUGGUAAGCGUGUUGUGAAAUGUAGGAGCUCAACUUCUAGAUUGCAGCGCGAACUGUCAGACUUGAGUGCGCACAACGUAGGCGGAAUUCAUGGUGUAGCGGUGAAAUGCUUAGAUAUCAUGAAGAACUCCGAUUGCGAAGGCAGCUUACGGGAGCGCAACUGACGCUGAAGCUCGAAGGUGCGGGUAUCGAACAGG
rnacentral:rRNA from 1 species